rnacentral:rRNA from 1 species
GAUGAACGCUGGCGGCGUGCCUAAUACAUGCAAGUCGAGCGAACAGACGGGGAGCUUGCUCCUCUGACGUUAGCGGCGGACGGGUGAGUAACACGUGGAUAACCUACCUAUAAGACUGGGAUAACUUCGGGAAACCGGAGCUAAUACCGGAUAAUAUGUUGAAUCGCAUGGUUCAACAGUGAAAGACGGUCUUGCUGUCACUUAUAGAUGGAUCCGCGCCGCAUUAGCUAGUUGGUAAGGUAACGGCUUACCAAGGCAACGAUGCGUAGCCGACCUGAGAGGGUGAUCGGCCACACUGGAACUGAGACACGGUCCAGACUCCUACGGGAGGCAGCAGUAGGGAAUCUUCCGCAAUGGGCGAAAGCCUGACGGAGCAACGCCGCGUGAGUGAAGAAGGUCUUCGGAUCGUAAAACUCUGUUAUUAGGGAAGAACAAAUGUGUAAGUAACUAUGCACGUCUUGACGGUACCUAAUCAGAAAGCCACGGCUAACUACGUG